rnacentral:tRNA from 1 species
UGCCGUAUGGUCUAGUGGUUAGGGCGUCCGGCAGGUAACCGGAAGACCCAGGUUCGAUUCCUGGUGUGGCAG